GUGCUCGCUUCGGCAGCACAUAUACUAAAAUUGGAACGAUAAGAGAAGAUUAGCAUGACCCCUGUGCAAGGAUGACACAAAAUCAUUUAAAAAAAAAAAAAGGAAA
rnacentral:snRNA from 1 species